UGACAACUCGAAAUGAUGUUUAAAUAAUAUUGUAAAAUAACUCAGAUACCUUUGCAAACAUAAUCUUAGUAAGGUUAUCUAGACGAUUGUAUAAUCUAGAUGUAUAGUCUAGAGAGUCCAGAGCUCAGAGUCAGUUCAAAUAAAACUAUUUAACUAAAAUGCUCCUCAAUUUUUCAAUUCUUCCCGGACAAACAUCAUCCAGUUGAAGCGAACCCUAAUCCGAAUCCGAUUCGAAUGACUAAAGAUAAUGGUCGCCCAUAAGAAGAAUGUACUGAAGAUGUUAUUGCUGUCAUAAAUGACUAUUAGCAUCAAUAGAACCCAUAAAUCGGUUGCUCAUUGAGUCUUUUCGUAAAGAGACCAAGAUAUUUUCGAUCGCUAGCCUUGCCUUCGUCACCUCAAGCCCCUUGGCUUGCUCCUUGCAGCGAAAUUCUGCCUUCUUCAUUCGAAAGUACCUUAUGCGCUCAUCAUAGUUAUCGCCCUCGCCGCCGCCCGUCGUCCCACCUCCUCCCCCACCUUGAACAUCCGUUGGCGUUGUGGCUGUUGCCUGCGGCGCAGGCACAGUAAGAGAAAACAGCUAUAAGGUGUUAGGUACAUACCCAUCCUAUUAGGAAAUACUAUAGGCCAAUUUGUACAAUUUGCAAAUAAUGCAUACAAUGAAGUUAUGUAACAUAUAUGCAUUCAAUUAUUGAAGGAUUUGUUAACGUCGAAUAAUCAUGAAUUUAAAAUAAAUUGUGAAGUAAUGUGCACUUGA